rnacentral:rRNA from 1 species
GACGAACGCUGGCGGCGUGCUUAACACAUGCAAGUCGAACGGAAAGGCCCUGCUUUUGUGGGGUGCUCGAGUGGCGAACGGGUGAGUAACACGUGAGUAACCUGCCCUUGACUUUGGGAUAACUUCAGGAAACUGGGGCUAAUACCGGAUAGGAGCUCCUGCUGCAUGGUGGGGGUUGGAAAGUUUCGGCGGUUGGGGAUGGACUCGCGGCUUAUCAGCUUGUUGGUGGGGUAGUGGCUUACCAAGGCUUUGACGGGUAGCCGGCCUGAGAGGGUGACCGGCCAAGUUGGGACUGAGAUACGGCCCAGACUCCUACGGGAGGCAGCAGUGGGGAAUAUUGCACAAUGGGCGGAAGCCUGAUGCAGCAACGCCGCGUGCGGGAUGACGGCCUUCGGGUUGUAAACCGCUUUCGCCUGUGACGAAGCGUGAGUGACGGUAAUGGGUAAAGAAGCACCGGCUAACUACGUG